rnacentral:tRNA from 1 species
GGGCCCGUAGCUCAGUUGGUUAGAGCGCACGACUCAUAAUCGUGUGGUCGAGGGUUCGAAUCCCUUCGGGCCCA